CUUGCUUUGGCAAGGGUAGUUCUAUGAUUUAUGUAUAAAAAUUGCCUUGGCUUCCUGGUUUUGAGAUUUCUCUCUUCCUUUGUGGAAAAGUUUGUGACAUUCUUUCUGCAUUGCUAAGUUCAUAUUACUCAAAGUUCGUGACAUUCUUUGUGCAUUGCUAAGUUCAUAUUACUCACUAGUGGAUUUCUUUUGUUUUCUUCCAAGAAGAGAAAACAAAAUCUUAUUUUUCCUAUGUUAUUUGCAACAUUCUUCCUCGCUGUCUUCAGAGUUUAUGUAAGUAAGCUAUGCUACUUACAAGAGCUUAAGUAUACAACACCAAUAUUUACCUCAACCAUGUGGAAUGGGAUUUCAGCCUUCACUUUCAUUCUUGCUUUCAUCUUCAGGUAUUGAAUUGCAAAGGUCAAAGGCCCUAGUCAUCUUGAGCAUCUAAUUGUUGCUUAAAUGAAUCUACUUCUGUGUUUCUUAACAUGCCUCAAAAGCAUGUCA